AUCGGUGCCUUUCCCAUCUUUAUUUUCCCGGACGACAAGCCAAGCAAGCCCAACAAAUUCCAAACCCCCACGCAAGAAAUUCCAAAUUGCCACACGCGAAUCCUCGCUUUCCCUUCCGAGCACGAUCCAUCCAUCCCAUCCCAAAGGAACAGGGAGCUGCUGCUGCUGCAUCUUCCGUGGUCCCGGUUCUAGGGACUAAGCAAGUACAAGAUCCUCUCGUGCUGCUCACUUCUUGAAGUGCAUCUGGCAUCAAUGCAUGGGUCUCAGAUAUGUGACUGUUAACCAUUUGAUCACUUUUCACUCCCUGCUUCAUUUGAUUCUUAUAAAAUAGAUCACGGCUGCGAAGGAUUUGAUGACACAUAAAUAGUGAAUGAUUAUUUGCAAAUACUAAUGUCAUGUUUAGCGAUAUAUGCUUAUAACUUUCCGAAAAGUUAAGUCAUUUGUUGUUUUCACCUUUUGCAGAGCUACUAAAAUGGCUUGUUCUGAUGGUGAGGCUGAGCACCAAUGGAUACAGAAUGUCAAGUCAGGAGGAGCAGUUCCUUGUCUACCGCCCGAAAACUGUCCUAAUGGUUGGGCUACUCCUCCUGGUGACACUUUUAUGGUCAGAGGCCCAGAAUAUUUUGCAACCAAGGCAAAAAUACCUGGUGGGGAGUAUCUUCUGAAGCCUCUUGGAGUUGAUUGGAUCAAAGGCCCAGUAAAAAUCUGUGAGGUCCUGAAAAACAGGAACCAUCGUGUGAGGAAAGCCAUCGAUGAGGAGGUUUCUCACGGCAAUAAACCUUUUGUCUGGGCCUUCAACUUGCAACUGCCCAGCAAGGAGAACUACAGCGCGAUAUUUUACUUUGUCUCACUGGAACCUGCACCCGAGGGCUCGCUGAUGGAUCAAUUCCUUAAAGGGGAUGAUGCUCUCCGUAAAUCCAGGCUUAAACUGAUAGCAAACAUAGUUAAGGGGCCCUGGAUUGUCCGAAAAGCUGUGGGUGAACAAGCCAUCUGCAUACUUGGCAGAGCACUUUCGUGCAAGUAUGUCGAGGGAUCAAACUUCAUCGAAGUUGAUGUGGAUAUUGGGUCUUCCAUAGUUGCAAAUGCAAUUGUUCAUCUGGCAUUUGGUUACGUGGCGACACUGACUAUAGAUUUAGCAUUUGUUAUUGAGAGUCAAGCUGAAUCAGAGCUCCCCGAGAGACUUCUUGGAGCUGUAAGGUUCUCUGAGUUGAGUCCGGGAUCAGCUGGUGUGUACGAAGUGCCAUCUGAAGAGCAGCAGGAAAUUGCUCCAAUUCUGCCUUCAAGAUUAUGGCGGAGUUUUUCCCAACUGCUACAGAAUCCAGGCAACUCAAUGCAGCCGUCGCCUAGCUCAGAAAACACUAACGGAAACUUUCACAAAGAAGAUGCUGGUAACAACGAUAAUUGAUAUCCCUGAAUCCCAUACUAGAGGAGAUGUAUACACCUCCCAUCAAAAGGAUGCCUUCAUUGGUUGAGGAUAAUAUGCCAGUUCAGGCGAUGUGUAAAAGUUGAAUUUGUUUUUAUGACGAUGGACGACGGCCUCAGGCACUUGUGGAUUAUCAUAGUCCCGGGCCCUGCUGUAAAAAUGAUACAUAGUGGUCAAGAGAGAACAACAUCUUUCUGUACAUAUUAACUAAAUUUACCUUUUAGCCCGACAAAUUGAGAUGUUGUAUUGCAUUCUCUAUCUGGCUGUGACGCUGGUAAAAACUUGCUCCAAAUGCCUCGUGGACCUGGAGUGCGAUGAAAAGCUACAUCA
rnacentral:rRNA from 1 species